rnacentral:sRNA from 1 species
GCCGCGCCUAGCCCGAGGCUGAUCCCCGAGGGUGAAAACAGGAAUUUCGCUUGAUCCUGCCGGCGCUGGCGCCCUCUUUUCAAGG